rnacentral:rRNA from 1 species
UGGGGAAUUUUGGACAAUGGGCGCAAGCCUGAUCCAGCCAUGCCGCGUGCGGGAAGAAGGCCUUCGGGUUGUAAACCGCUUUUGUCAGGGAAGAAAUCUUCUGAGUUAAUACCUCGGGAGGAUGACGGUACCUGAAGAAUAAGCACCGGCUAACUACGUGCCAGCAGCCGCGGUAAUACGUAGGGUGCAAGCGUUAAUCGGAAUUACUGGGCGUAAAGCGUGCGCAGGCGGUUUUGUAAGACAGAGGUGAAAUCCCCGGGCUCAACCUGGGAACUGCCUUUGUGACUGCAAGGCUUGAGUGCGGCAGAGGGGGGCAUGGAAUUCCGCGUGUAGCAGUGAAAUUGCGUAGAUAUGCGGAGGAACACCGAUGGCGAAGGCAAUCCCCUGGGCCUGCACUGACGCUCAUGCACGAAAGCGUGGGGAGCAAACAGGAUUAGAUCCCUGGUAGUCCACGCCCUAAACGAUNUCAA